GAUAGGAGAUCUGACGAGAGGGGGCCUGGGGCAGGAAGGAGGAGACCGUGGAGAACUCGGGCACGUAAUGGAGGUUUUGGACCUGAUCUAGCGAGGGGGGAAAAUUUGGGAAGGCGAGAUGACGCGUUAUCCGUCUUAGUCUCUCUCCCCGAGCACGUGAUCCAAAGUAGAUAUUGUCAUAUAUCAGUUCGGAGCACUUCGCAGUCGUAGGAGGGGUUCUCUCUUAGGGACUCUUACCCCACCAAUCUGAAGAGGGUCACAGCGCCUGUUUACAAGAGUUUGAAGAAGUCAAUUCUUUUCCUGGCCAGGGCUGGGUAACAAGGCUCCCUUUCCCCUUUGGAGAGACUCCCUGGAAGUGUAUCUGAAGUUUCCCAAAGGACACAUCUGGGCAGCUGAAAAUCAGUUUAUUGAAAGGUUCUAGACUGGGUACCAGAGCAACUGCCCACAAGCAGAAAGCAACCUUGCAUCCAAGGAGGAGCCACCAGGGCAUGAUCCGUUCUGUUCAGAUCAGCAGGAGGAACUGAAACCCCCGGGAACGCAGUCCACUGCACCCUUAGGAAAAGCCAGUAAUGGCCCAAACCCUCUUUUAACCCCUAACUCUUGUUUAAAAUUGGUUUCCACUUUAAAAAUAUUAUUUGUAUUUGAUUUUCCUUGUUGAACUUGACAAGGUACUGAGGCCCCAAGAGUAGAUGGGGAAGACACAAAAAAUGGUACAUUGACCCCAAAUACAACCCCUCCCCAAAUCAUUCUUUCCCAACCCUCCUGUCUCCUCAAAUCUGCUUUAGAGCAACACCUGGGUUGGAACAGCCUUGGCCAUGGGUCCCAUUCUUGGGGGGGGGCUCUGGCAUACCCAGGGAUAGGUCUCUGGCAUCCCUCUACCCAUUCAUUGCUGGGCACUGCCUCCCGAGCCCUCCUUUAGUCCUGGCUGGAUCUUAACU